UGCUAUUCAUAUAAGGUAGUGUACCCGAUCUGUUUAAGGGUUUAAUAAGAGUUUAAUAAACAAGAGGGAGACGGGUCUUUGGGGAGUAGGACGGAUUCAGCUUAAAACAAAGCUGAAAUCAAGUGUUUUCUUUACCAAGGCACCGUGUGGGAUUUUUGAUGAAGGACUAUUCGCACAUGAGGAUAAUUAUGCUUUGCUGUUCGACUGCCAGAACUUUACAAGCUUUAUUUGAAUUUUUGUAUAAAUUUAUACAUAUUUAGUUAUUUUAUUGACGCAACCUGAUCCGCGAAAACUCAACCCAGUGAUUGUGCCAAAAAGUCAAAUUCAAUGGCUUAAAAUAUUGACUACGAACGAUUAGCUCAAGAAAUUUCAAGAAUACAAAGAACAACACCAGAAAAUGUAACUGAUCUAUCCAACAACAGUAAAGUGAAACUUCAAUAUUCUUCGAGAAACUUUCAGGAUGCGAAAUCUGCCUCUUCUAUGAGAAAUGAUGCAACGCAGGAGAAUCCAAUGGUCUAUAAUGAGUACACAACUUUUAGAGAAUACUGCAAGUGUUCCAAAACUUGAACAAAGACAGUUGAUGAGCACCAUGCUUUAAAAAAGAGGAUUUUUUUAAACAAAUGUGGGCAGGUCAAGUUCCAUAUCUUGACAGCACAAUCGGAGACAUCUGACAUCCUGCUAAAAUAUAUAAAAGAGGAAGUAAUGUAUGAAUUAAGUUAAGUGAUUAUCAUUUGCCCAUGUAAAUAAAUUGAAGUGUCAACAUAAUUUGCUAAAGGAAAUUUAUAAGUUUACAGAGUAUACGAUCAGGCAUGGUAGUGUAUUUGUGUUAAAAGACAUGUUCUAUUUAAGUGUUGAGUCAUUGCAAUGUGCUUUUAGCUGUUAAACACCAAGGACACAUGUAAACGGAUAAAAGAUGUUUUUAUACAUGUACCAUGUCCUCUCACAUUAGCCACACAGUUAUAACGGGCCGACAGAAGGCGGUCUGUUAUUCGACAUACCUUUUAAUUCUGAAACUGCAUUUCUGCGGGAUAGUUUUUUUUG